CACGUAGGGCGCGAGCGUUGUCCGGAAUUAUUGGGCGUAAAGAGCUCGUAGGCGGCCUGUUGCGUCCGCUGUGAAAGCCCGGGGCUUAACUCCGGGUCUGCAUUCGAUACGGGUCUGCUGGGGUCCGGCAGGGGAGACUGGAAUUCCUGGUGUAGCGGUGAAAUGCGCAGAUAUCAGGAGGAACACCGGUGGCGAAGGCGGGUCUCUGGGCCGGUACCGACGCUGAGGAGCGAAAGCGUGGGAGCGAACAGG
rnacentral:rRNA from 1 species